rnacentral:rRNA from 1 species
AUUGAACGCUGGCGGCAGGCUUAACACAUGCAAGUCGAGCGGAGCGAGGGUGCUUGCACCUUAGCUUAGCGGCGGACGGGUGAGUAAUGCUUAGGAAUCUGCCUAUUAGUGGGGGACAACAUUCCGAAAGGAAUGCUAAUACCGCAUACGCCCUACGGGGGAAAGCAGGGGAUCUUCGGACCUUGCGCUAAUAGAUGAGCCUAAGUCGGACUAGCUAGUUGGUGGGUAAAGGCCUACCAAGGCGACGAUCUGUAGCGGGUCUGAGAGGAUGAUCCGCCACACUGGGACUGAGACACGGCCCAGACUCCUACGGGAGGCAGCAGUGGGGAAUAUUGGACAAAUGGGCGCAAGCCUGAUCCAGCCAUGCCGCGUGUGUGAAGAAGGCCUUUGGUUGUAAAGCACUUUAAGCGAGGAGGAGGCUACUUAGAUUAAUACUCUAGGAUAGUGGACGUUACUCGCAGAAUAAGCACCGGCUAACUACUGUGCCAGCAGCCGCGG